AGAGUUUGAUCCUGGCUCAGGAUGAACGCUAGCGGGAGGCUUAAUACAUGCAAGUCGCGGGGUAACAGUUUGGCUGACGACCGGCGCACGGGUGAGUAACGCGUACAUACCUACCUUUAAGAGGGGAAUAGCCCUGGGAAACUAGGAUUAAUACCCCAUGUGAUUCUGCGAUUCGUUGUGGGAUUAAAGGUUUUGGCCGCUUAAAGAUGGAUGUGCGUCCCAUUAGCUAGUUGGUACGGUAAAGGCGUACCAAGGCUAUGAUGGGUAGGGGGCGUGAGAGCGUGGUCCCCCACACGGGUACUGAGACACGGACCCGACUCCUACGGGAGGCAGCAGUAAGGAAUAUUGGACAAUGGGCGCAAGCCUGAUCCAGCCAUCCCGCGUGCAGGAUGACGGCCCUAUGGGUUGUAAACUGCUUUUAUUAGGGAAGAACAACCCCGAGUUCUCGGGGUAUGACGUACCUGAGAAUAAGCACCGCUAACU
rnacentral:rRNA from 1 species